CAAUAGCGUAUAUUAAAGUUGUUGCGGUAAAAAAGCUCGUAGUUGGAUUUCUACCGAAGAUAGCCGGUCGGGUCUUCGACCUUGUAUCUGGUUUUGUCUUUGGUAUCCUCAUAGGGAACGUUUCUGCGCUUUAUUGCGUGGUGCGGUAUCUAUGACUUUUACUUUGAGGAAAUUAGAGUGUUCACGGCAGGCAAACGCCUUGAAUAUAUUAGCAUGGAAUAAUAACAUAGGAUCUUCGUCCUAUUUUGUUGGUUUCUAGGGCUAAGAUAAUGAUUAAUAGGGAUAAUUGGGGGCAUCUGUAUUAACGCGUCAGAGGUGGAAUUCUUGGAUUGCGUUGCGACAAACUACUGCGAAAGCAUUUGCCAAGGAUGUUUUCAUUGA
rnacentral:rRNA from 1 species